GCUUCUCGGUGUUUGCUCGGUGCUUCUCACCCACCACCCCCCAAAAAAACCACUGUUUCUUCUCCACCACCCCCCCAACAAACUACCACCGCAUCGUGGUUGCUGUAUCCCCCCUCCCACAUGCGUUUCUCCCCCCAGUUGUGUGCCUCUCUUGCGUUUCAGGAAGCCGCCCCCGCAACCGCCUCCUCUCCUCUCCUCUCCCGCGCGCACCACCGCUGUUGCUGGCUCCCCUCCCACUAGACACUGCUAGCAGUGGUGUACAUAUUGUUCUCCCUGAAUACUAUUCUCCAGAAGGGAUGGGGUUAAUCGUUCCAAAAACUAAGGACGGAUGUGUUGUGUUCAUGCUUCCAUGGCUGGGCAAGACAUUAGCAGGGACCACAUAUUCCAAUAUCGCCAUUACAAUGCUGCCAGAACCACGUGAGGAUGAGAUUCAAUUCAUAUUGGACGCUCUCACUGACUAUCUCUGUAUCAAGGUUCGUCGAACAGAUGUUCUCUCUGCAUGGAGUAGAAUCCGUCAAUGUGCUAUGGAUCCAACAACCAAGAACACAGAAAGUAUCUCCCGUGAUCACGUUGUUUGUGAAGAUUUCCCUGGUUUUGUUACCAUUAAUGGUGGAAAAUGGACCACACAUAGAAGAGUUUUGUGGUUUCGGAGUUAUUCGAAGUACCAGUAUGUCUGCAGUUCAAGUUUCAGAUAACAACAAGCGGGUCUGUGAAGUAAGUUCCGGUAGGAUCAGCAAAUUGCAAAUUUCCAACAAGUUCCGAUAGAACUUGUAGUUGCAUUCAGAUGUGGAGGGAAAGCUGCGGAAGCUCUUGAUUGAUCUGGGAAAUUCUGGAAAGAUACUGGGAGUUCAGUUUGUGUCAAGGGCAUUUAGUUGAGAGGACAUGAAACAUGAUAAAAGAUACGAGGCUCUGCUGUGAACCAGGUCAAAAGCCUACAGGCAGUUCAGGAGUGGCACCUGAUGCAAUGUUUUCAAAACUCCAAGGGAGGGGGCCUUUACCAAAGAGGAGUUGGAUGAAGUUCGAGACAAGUGGGCUACUUACUUCAACGAUUGUGAACUACCCUCGGUGUAAUAAAUAGAGCAGGCUUGUAGUUAUCCGUGACUCUUACAUUAUUUGUUAUUUAUCGAUUUAAUUAAUUACAUUUGAAUUAAUUCGGUAAUAUUAUUGGAAAUUUAAAAUUUAUGUCAUUUUUGAGAAUGUCAA